rnacentral:rRNA from 1 species
GACGAACGCUGGCGGCGUGCCUAAUACAUGCAAGUAGAACGCAGUUGCUAACGGGUGAGUAACGCGUAGGUAACUGCCUCCUAGCGUGGUAUAACUAUUUGAAACGAUAGCUAAUACCGCAUACUGUGAGAUUGACCUGCGUUGUAUUAUCUAGUUGGUGAGGUAAAGGCUAACAAGGGCGACGAUACAUAGCCGACCUGCGAGGGUGAUCGGCAACACUGGGACUGAGACACGGCCCAGACUCCUACGGGAGGCAGCAGUGGGGAAUAUUGCACAAUGGGCGAAAGCCUGAUGCAGCCAUGCCGCGUGUAUGAAGAAGGCCGUCGGGUUGAAAAGUACUUUCAGCGGGGAGGCGUUACCCGCAGAAGAAGCACCGGCUAACUCCGUGCCAGCAGCCGCGGUAAUAC